AAUCUUAAUAGAUCCCAACAAUAUUGUAGUUAUGGCCUUCAAAUUAUGUAGUUUUUAAUCAUUUUAAUUUAAACUCAAUGGAUGAAUCAUUCAUCAUGAAUGUUAUUAAUAUAUAGUUACAAAAUUAUAAAAGAAAAA
rnacentral:sRNA from 1 species